AAAAAGUUUGAUUUUGGCUUAAUCUUUAUUAUAACUUUGUUUUACAUGUAAGUUUUUGCGUGAACUCCUAAAAUUUUAAAUAAAUUUUGGUUAAAUUUUAUUCGCAGUAUUUGAUAUUGAAUAUUAAAUUAUUUUAGAUUCGGUAAAAGUUAAAGUACAGGAUAAAUUUGUGCCAGCAUCUGCGGUUAUACAAAUUGUACAAAUAAAGCUUUUUGGUUAGUAGUUAAUUUAUUAUUAAUAAAGAUUAUUAAAUUAAAUUUUUUAGGUGAAAUUUAAUUUUAUUUAUAAAUUUUUGUUUAAUGAUGAAGCUAUGAAAUUUUUGUUUUAAACUAGGAUUAGAUACCCUAUUAUUAAAAAUGUAAAUUUAUCAAGCCUGGGUAGUAUUAGGUAUGAUCUUGAAACCUAAAAAAUUUGGCGGUGCCUUAGUCUAUUUAGAGGAACCUGUUCCGUGAUCGAUAGUCCACGAUAAAUUUUACUAGCUUUUGUUUAGUUUAUAUACCGUCGUUAUCAGAAUAUUUUAUAAGAAUAUAAUUUUCUUAAAUUUUAAUAAAAAUUUAUUUCAGAUCAAGGUGUAGCUUAUGAGUUAGAGGAAAUGGGUUACAAUAAAAUAAUUUAUAACGGAUUUAAUGUUGUAAUAUGUUAUUUAAGGUGGAUUUAAUAGUAAAUUAAGUUAUAUUACUUUUUUGAUUAUAGCUCUAAGACAUGUACAUAUCGCCCGUCGCUCUUUUUAAUUAAAGAUAAGUCGUAACAUAGUAGGUGUACUGGAAAGUGUAUCUAGAAUGCA
rnacentral:ncRNA from 1 species